GUGAGUACAAAUAAAAGACCCACCACUUUGCUUCAAUUUAGGGUAUCUCUGGAAAGCCAUCCUAGCUCCAAACCUCUCUGCAGGAUCAUAUGAGACUUCUUCUGCAUGCCCAACACAGCUCAACUUCCUCCUCUGCCCAGGCCUCCUUUCCUCACAUUCUCACAGGAAGUAUUUGAAGCCCAGGGGAUUGUGGUGAAAAAGACAAACACUGCCCCAUCUGUCCUGAAACAGACAUUUCAGAGGAGGGAAAUGGAUGAUAAACAGGUAAGUAAAUACUGUAGGUAAACAGAAUGGUUUCAAAUCACAAUAAGUCCCAUGAAAUAAACACACAGACUGUGUCACAGGACUUUCAGCUGAGACCCCUUUGAGAUGCAGUGACUUCCCAUGUUUGCCUGAAAGGAUAGCUUCUUUAAUGUUAAAUCAGAAAAGCAGGCUGGGCACAGUGGCUCCUGCCUGUAAUCUCAGCACUUUGGGAGGCUGAGGUGGGAGGAUUACUUGAAACCAGGAGUUGGAGACCAGCCUGGGCAACAAAGGCAGACACUGUCUCUACAAAAAAUUUUAAAAAUAGCCAGGAGUGGUGGUGUGUGUCUGUAGUCCUUGAGGUAGGGUGGGAAGACAUAGGGAGCAAAAGCAUGGGAAGGAGGAUGUCACCAAGGCUGUAAUGAACUAGGAUCCUGUACUCCAGCCCAAGUAACAGAGCAAGACCCUGUCUAAAUACAAAAGAAAAGAAGAGGGUCUAGCCAAACAAUUCCCUGGACAAUUUUACUUCUGCUAGAAAAUACGUUGUGUAGCUCAAAUGAAAGUGUUUAGACCAAGAAACGUGUUGAUACCAAGGUGGUCAGCCAGUGUGGCUCUGGAAGCAGCAUGUAGUUUGGCAUCGUGGGUUUAACCUUUACAGGAUUAGUGAUUAAUUUUUACAAGGAGGCCCAAGUUAACAAAGUCUGAUAUAAGGCCA
rnacentral:lncRNA from 1 species